rnacentral:rRNA from 1 species
GACGAACGCUGGCGGCGCGCUUAACACAUGCAAGUCGAACGGAGUGUUUUAAGUUCUUCGGAACAUGAAUCACUUAGUGGCGAACGGGUGAGUAACACGUAGACAACCUACCCUUGAGAUGGGGACAACAUUCCGAAAGGAGUGCUAAUACCGAAUGAAGCCAACUGGUCGCAUGACUGGUUGAUGAAAGGUGGCCUCUAUUUAUAAGCUAUAGCUAAAGCAAGGGCGUGCGCGUGAUUAGCUAGUUGGAGGGGUAACGGCCCACCAAGGCAACGAUCAGUAGCCGGUCUGAGAGGACGAACGGCCACACUGGGACUGAGACACGGCCCAGACUCCUACGGGAGGCAGCAGUGGGGAAUCUUCCGCAAUGGACGAAAGUCUGACGGAGCGACGCCGCGUGGGUGAAGAAGGCCUUCGGGUUGUAAAGCCCUGUCAUUAGGGACGAAUGGCAGUAGGGAUAAUACUCCUAUUGUUUGACGGUACCUAAGGAGGAAGCCCCGGCUAACUACGUGCCAGCCGCCGCAUAA